AUUGACAGCGUGCGGGUUGUACAUCAAGCAGGGAAUUCCCCCCACAAUGCAUAUCUCUGUAUUGAAGAGGGUAUAAAUAUUGCGGCGAUCACAAGUUGCGUCUUAAACUCGCUGCUCUGUUGCACAUAGAACGUGGCUUUGACCGUCGAUUAUUUGCUUCAUAACAAGUUUUCUUCCAACUGCGAAAUCAAAG